rnacentral:rRNA from 1 species
GACGUAGGGCGCGAGCGUUGUCCGGAUUUAUUGGGCGUAAAGAGCUCGUAGGCGGCUUGUCGCGUCGACUGUGAAAACCCGCGGCUCAACUGCGGGCUUGCAGCCGAUACGGGCAGGCUAGAGUUCGGUAGGGGAGACUGGAAUUCCUGGUGUAGCGGUGAAAUGCGCAGAUAUCAGGAGGAACACCGGUAGCGGCAAGGCGGAUCUCUGGGCCGUA